GCCGGAAUAGCUCAGUUGGGAGAGCGUUAGACUGAAGUUGAUUACGCAACAAUCAUCUAAGGCCCCCGGUUCAAUCCCGGAUUCCGGCA
rnacentral:tRNA from 1 species